GCGUGUUCUCGGGGCGGGGUGCAAUUCCCCACCGGCGGUUACAGCCCGCGAGCGCCUGCAAUCCGCAGGGUCAGCAGAUCCGGUGAAACUCCGGGGCCGACGGUAUAGUCCGGAUGAAAGAGAAUGGAC
rnacentral:ncRNA from 2 species